rnacentral:rRNA from 1 species
CAGCCGCCACGGUAAUACGUAGGGGGCUAGCGUUAUCCGGAUUUACUGGGCGUAAAGGGUGCGUAGGUGGUCCUUCAAGUCGGUGGUUAAAGGCUACGGCUCAACCGUAGUAAGCCGCCGAAACUGGAGGACUUGAGUGCAGGAGAGGAAAGUGGAAUUCCCAGUGUAGCGGUGAAAUGCGUAGGUAUUGGGAGGAACACCAGUUGCGAAGGCGGCUUUCUGGACUGCAACUGACACUGAGGCACGAAAGCGUGGGUAGCAAACAGGAUUAGAGACCCCGGUAGUCCCUGUCUCUUAUACA